rfam:Tolypothrix bouteillei VB521301 scaffold_9, whole genome shotgun sequence.
AGGAGCCGAAUGAGAUUGGAAACUCUCAUGUUCGGUUCUGAAUGAGAGGUGAAGGAAAGCGAUUUCCUCAUCGACUCUAAC